GCUUCCCCCACAUACCGCCAAGGCUUUAGUACAGGUGGACAGCCAGGGCAAGGUGCCAAAUUCUUUUGGUUUAGAGGGAGUGGUGGGAGGGAAGCCUCCGAACCGCUCCUAGAAGGGCUUAACUUGCCUUCUUUCAAAUGUGGGACAACCUACUACAUUCUGCUCCGGACUCUCAGGGAGAAUGGUUUUUUUGCAGAUGUCUUAUUAAAACAGAGGAGUGAAUUUUAUGAUCGUAGGCACCAGAGCAAAGUGGUGGAAAGAGUUGGAAAGGGCUCUAAAUGAGAAUAUGGCCAAUGGCAUUGAAGACCUUAUUGGGAUUCCAUUCCCAAACCACAGCAGCGAGGUCCUCUGUGGCUUAAACGAGCAGCGGCACAAUGGUCUCCUCUGUGACGUCAUCCUCAUUGUCCAAGACCAAGAAUACAGGACCCACAAGUCUGUCCUGGCUGCUUGCAGCCAGUAUUUUAAGAAACUUUUCACUACCGGCACUUUAGCAGACCAGCCCUAUGUUUACGAGAUUGACUUUGUCAAGCCUGAAGCACUUUCGGCAAUCCUAGAGUUUGCCUAUACCUCGACCCUGACCAUCACCACCUCGAACGUCAAGCACAUCCUUAAUGCGGCCAAGAUGUUGGAGAUUCAGUGCAUUAUCAACGUAUGCCUCGAAAUCAUGGAGCCCAGUGAGGAAGAAGAAGAUGAGAAGGAGGAGGAAGAGGAGGAAGAGGAUGAUGAUGAAGAAGAGGAAGAGGAGGAGGAGGAGGAAGUAGAAGACUUUGCUAACCAGAACUUGACGGAUGUCCAAGACGUGAACUGUCACCAAAGUCCUUCCAAAUCUGACCUUGCUGAAGAAGCAUAUACAGAAACACCCAGGGGUUUCCCCAACCACUUCCCGGCCAAUAGCUCCAAUGGUUCCCUGGGUGUGAUAAGAGACUUCUCCAUUGAGUCCCUUCUAAGGGAAAACCUGUACCCUAAAGCUAGCAUUCCAGAACGGAGACCAGCUCGGACUCCGUUUGUGCCCGACCUCUUCCCUCACCUGUGGAACGGAGACUUUGGCACCUUCUCCCAAGUAGAGGAGCAGCAAGUGGACAAUGGCCCAUUGGACCUGGUGAUCCGAAAGAGAAAGAUCAAAGAGGAGGAGAAGGAAGAUCCCCCUCCUGCUCAGUUCCCAAAUGACAUCUUCAAGGACAUCUUUGCUAACAAUCCAGUGGGCCCCCUGGGACACAUCAAGGCAGAAAACGAUUAUAGUGCUUACCUGAACUUUCUCAGUGCUGCCCAUUUUGGGGGAGUUUUUCCUCGGUGGCCGGAAGAAAGGAAGAUCAAGCCUAAAGCUUCUCAGCAGUGCCCCAUCUGCAACAAAAUCAUCAUGGGAGCAGGAAAGCUGCCGCGGCAUAUGAGGACCCACACGGGAGAGAAGCCAUAUAUGUGCAAUAUCUGUGAAGUUCGAUUUACCAGGCAAGACAAGCUGAAGAUCCACAUGCGCAAGCACACCGGGGAAAGGCCCUACCUCUGCAUCCACUGCAAUGCCAAAUUUGUCCACAACUAUGACCUAAAGAACCACAUGCGCAUCCACACGGGCAUCCGUCCCUACCAGUGCAAGUUCUGCUACAAGAGCUUCACCCGCUCCGACCACCUGCACCGCCACAUCAAGCGCCAGAGCUGCCGGAUCUCCCGGCCUCGGAGGGGGCGUAAGCCGGCCACCUGGAGAGCGGCCAGUUUGCUCUUCGCGCAGAACGGCCAGCCGGACGACAAGAGCUUCAUGAUGCCUCCCGCUCUGGAGGAGAUGAGCGGCCACCUCGGCAACGCAGCCGUGUGCCUUCCGGGCCCCAGCCCUAAGCAUUUCAUGGACAGGGCCAAGAACACUCUGAAUUUGCAAGAGCUGGAGAGCCAGUUUGAGGAAACCGAAAUGAAGCUCUUUGGGAGGACACACCUGGACAUGGAGCGGAACGGCAGCCUCUUUGCCUUUGCUCUGGGCCACAACGAGAGCCUCUCGGCACGGCCCUUUUUCUCUCUCCCUGACCCAUGGGGUACGGGGUUCAGCGGACUGACGGGACUCAACCACCUUGCCCCCAUUUCUGAAGCUAGCAACUAAGCUGCCUUCUGUCCAGUGGAUGGUUUGGGUACGUUCCAUGCCAUGUUUAGCAGGGCCAGCCCUAGCAUGAGGCAGGGGGAGACAGUUUCUUCAGGCAGCAUAUUUGGGGUGACAUCAAAGUCGAGCCAUUUAUCAAUUGUUUAACUUAUUCUUAAAAUAGUAUCUUCACCACAACAGGAGGGGUACCAUAUUUUCCACUACAAGCUCCAAACUGUCUUGGGCCACUCUUUAUACAGAGCAGCCAUCUCCCCCUGGUUCUUGCCUAGGUUUUCACCUGGCCAUCUCAGUCUCAGCACCGAAGAAGGAUUACUCUAUUUCCUACAUGUAAAAAAAGGUUAUACCGGAAUGUGGAUAGGGAUGCACAUUUGAAUGCAGAUCCCAUUGAAAGCAAUGGAGAGUGGAUCAGUAGCAUCCACCCUUGGAUAAGCAUCCUGACAAACAGAGUUGGGCUGUUUUCCAUGUGGUCUGAAACAUAUGCACUCUUCAGAGCCGCUUUGGUUUUCUCUUGCAAAGAGGCCCCUUCAUGGAUCAAAGACUUUUUUAAAACUGAAAGACAAUGAUAAAACAGCCUCCCUGAACUGCCUGACCUGGUUUAAAAUUCACCAAAAGACUCCUCUUCUCUGCACCAAACAAAUGGGGGUGGGGAGGGAGAAAAUCAGAACUUUUCCAAAUCAGCAUCAUUUUUUUUUAAAUGUACAGAGAUCUUUCUGAACUACUGUUUUGCAGAUGAUGGUUUCCUUCAGGUUUUUGUUUUUGGCCCACAUUUUGGAGUCCUUGUAACAUAUCCAAAGAUUUUGAGUACUGUAUAAUCGACAAUAACUUGAAGCAAAAGAAACUUUUUUUUUUUUUGGUUAAAUUUCCUGUUUGUCGGGAUGGGAUGUGGUAGGGAGGGUGGGAUUGGGAAAUCCUUUGGAAUUUUUUUUCUAUUUAUAACUAUUUUUAUGUGAUUGCUUUAUGUAAAGAAAAAGAGAGAGAAAACCCACAUAAAACAGAUCUGCCUUAGUUAAUCACGGGACAAUCAUCCUUAACUUUUGUUGGAAGUUCCAGAUUUUUCUUUUAAAAGACAAGGAAAAAAACACUUUUAUGUAUUUAUUAAGCAGUAUUAAUUGAUUUUAUUAAAUUAUUGACAACAUGCAGGGUUUUUUAAAAUGCACAUUAGUAAAACAUUGGGAGGGUCAAGGUCAUUCACACAUUACCAGACAGCAAAUCAGAGUCUGUUGCUGGGUGUACAUUCAACAUGGAAUCAGGGCCUAUUUUGCCUCUCUCUGCUCCGUGUGAUUCAUGUGUUUGCAAGCAUGGUGGUUGCAUCCACACUUUAUAUUUUUAGCUACACACUUAAAACAUCUUAGGAGCACACCUAGGAAACGUAAUGUGUGGAUGGGUCUUGCCACAUUUCAAAAUUGCAGACAAGGUAAACUCACAUGCUGACAUGUAAUGUCUUUCUGUUUCAUUGAGGUAUACAUAAAUUGGGCUGGUCUUAAAAGCCUUUGACAUAUGUCUUUUGCACCUUAUGAGACUGUUGAUUGUUAAAGGGGACAAUGGAUGCUGAUUGUUGCUAUUGAGCAUGAGUUAAGGUUGAUUGCCCUAGAUGAUUUCAUUUGGGUUAUUUGUUAACUGGCUCAUGGCUGGCUUCAUUUUCUGGUUGAAGGAAUAUUACAGUUUUUCAUGUUCUUGCAGUUUCUUGACACUUCACUAUAAUACAGCAGUGUCAGGCCACUGGAACUGUGCACUUACAGUUGCCUGUUGAUUCAGCGGGGGGAUACCCCAUUGCCCAGUUCUUUUUUGUGAUCAGUUUUCUUUGGUGCCUGGCAUCUCGAUACCUGCAAAUCUCUGUGUUCAUUUGUUUUGCUCAGAUAAUUGCUUUAACCCAUGUUUAUGGAGAUACAUUUGAAAACCUGCAAAAUGGACAGGCGUUCACCUCCUCCGUUCUGUGGACCCUAGUGGAUGUGGGUGCUCUGAUGUGUAUGCAGAGCUCCUUAGUCCAUAAGGGCUUCUCCGUUCGCUUCAGCGGAGGUGGCAGCUUGUGAUCCACCCACACACCUUGGACCUCAGUCUAGCUACAGUAUGUGCUCCACAUAACUACCAUGGCAGGCGAAAGCAACGGUGAGACAGUUAUGAGUGGUCAUCGCCUUCCUUUCCCCACUCUGUUUCAGUCAAAAGCAGCUGCUGCCAGAGAGCUCAAUGAAAACAGUAGAGAAUGAUUGCAGACAAGGUGAAAAGCUAGGUGCUGCUAGGGGCAUACAGGAGAUCUCUCCUUCGGGGGUGAGUGGAGGCCAGAACUGGAGCUCCACUCCUGACACACCGUGGCUUCUCCUCACUGCCAGAACCAAAGGACUCUGCAGGGACAGGCAGAGAGGGCUGCCUGAUGUGCAGGAACUCUACUGGCCCAUAGAGUACUAUCUGCUUUUUCUAGGAAUACUUCCAGUGUAGGGGUGCAGGCAACUGCUGAGCAGGGGGGCUUCCUAUAAAUGUCACUGGUGUUAGGAAGGCAGGAGACUCUCUUCCUAACAUCCACUGUCCAGCAGAUGGAGUUGUCCAGAGAGGAGAGCUGGUCUUGUGGUAGCAAGCAUGACUUGUCCCCUUAGCUAAGCAGGGUCUGCCCUGGUUUCAUGUGAAAGGGAGACUAGAUGUGUGAGCACUAUAAGAUAUUUCCCUGAGGGGAUGGAGCCACUCUGGGAAGAGCAGAAGGUUCCCAGUUCCCUCCCUGGCAGCAUCUCCAAGAUAGGGCUGAGAGAGAUUCCUGCCUGCAACCUUGGAGAAGCCACUGCAGUCUGUGAAGACAAUACUGAGCUAGAUAGACCAAUGGUCUGACUCAGUAUAUGGCAGCUUCCUAUGUUCCUGUGACUUGUGGUGGUUGAAAUCAAGGGGCAUCAGCAGACUUACACCUCUGUUGGAUUGUGGCUUCUGUACUCUGCAUAGCUCCCUGUCUCCCCCCAUGAUGGCUUCCGGUCAUGUUACCCUACCUAGAACCAAUCACGGCCCAUCAUUUGCUUCCUACCUUGAGGCCAAUCAGUCCAUGAUUUGUUUGGCAAAAAUAAAAAAUAAAAAUGGAUAAAGGUAUUUCCAGACAGUUUGAAAAUGGAUGUUGACUUUUUGCUUUUCCAUUCCUAUUCGCGUUGCCUACUUCCCUGUCACGCAGUUUUGUGUCACCAUCUGCUGGCCAUUUGCAGGCAAUCUGUGAUGGAAAUUAAAGUACUUUUUCAAGUAGUCUCCAAAUUAAAAAAAAGUAAAAAAUGGUGAUGUCCAUCCUGGAUUGCCCACAAAUGGUCAGCAGAUAGUGCUGCACACUUGUGUGACGGGAAAAGGGAGUGGAUAAACAGAAAGACGUUGCAGGCUUAUGCAGAACAUUAUAAAUAGCACUGUGUUGAUCCCUCAUUGGAGGGAGGGAUCUUAGAGGACUGGGGCUUGUGGGAGCACUUACUGACUGAGAGCCAGCAAAUGGUUGUGUCUAAUGGACUUGAUGGGUUUUGUGAGAAGCCGCCCUUAGAAUAUAAAUAUUGCUGGAUAUCCCUUCACUGGUUCUUUCCUUAUCAAUGCACAGGAUGAUUGUUCUUCUGAGGCAUGGGCUUUCCCAAGGAAAAGGCUUCUUAUCUAGGUUAUCACUGGAUGCUAUGUAGUGUCUGAAGGGCCACAAUCCAACAUAGAGUUAAGCCACAUGCUGAAGCCCAUUGCAAUCAAUACUAAGCAUGGUAAUGAGAAAAGUUAAAGUGUGCCGUUGAGUCGAUUUCGACUCCUGGUGCCCACAGAGCCCUGUGGUUUUCUUGGGUAGAAUACAGGAGGGGUUUACCAUUGCCAUCUCUCUCACAGCAUGAGGCGAUGCCUUUCAGCAUCUUCCUAUAUCGCUUCUGCCUGAUAUAGUACCAGCGGGGAUUCGAACUGGCAACCUUCUGCUUGUUGUAAUGAGAAUUUGGCCCUUAUUCCCAAAUAAGGAUUGGUUCACAAGCAGUGCCUUGGCACAUGUGAAUGGAUCGUCACAGAAAUGGACAGAUUGUUUCAUAUCAACUCUCAACAACACAAACAUAAUGGCUGAUAUCCUCACGGAAGAAGUCGACGUAUGCCAGGAAGACAUGCCCAUGCUUGUGGAGAGCUUCACAAAUACCAGAGUAUGGAGGGGGGGGGGGGCAAUUUUCUGUGAUCUCUGCUUCCCCCAGAAAUGCCUUGUGCAACACAAAAAUAUAUCCCUGAAGGCCACGUGACCCUCAGGGACAUAUUUUCAAGCAGCUCAGAGUAUUUCUAGGGAAAGCAGAGAUUGGAGAAAAUCCCCCAGCCCCAGCACCGUGCAGCUAAGAAAGCUCUCUGCAGCAUGGGUGUGUCUUCCUGGCACAUAUCUGCUUUCAUAGUAAGCAUGUCAGCCAACUUUUUCAAUAAAGCCAAUUCACACAUUCAGCUGCCAGCCAUCAAGCAUACGGCAAUCAAGCCUAAAGAAAUCAAAUGAUGAACAUGCUUGUAUGAACCCGUCCUAAGUGAAUGGAAGGCUGGAGCUAAAUGCCCCGGGGAUUUGUUGCAGGUGAAUUGGUUUUGAUAUGCAGAUCAAAGUUGCCCAGUACAAAGGCGUCUCCAGACAUAUCACAGGAGGUUUUUCAGGCUUUACUGCGAGUUCAGGGCACAACAAAUACUCUGACACAAAAAUACCCCGGACCUAAAUCAAGCUAGGUUCCCAGUACGGAGGGGGAAACCCAAAUCAUGUGUGAAGUGCUCUCUGAAGUAUCACAUGGACUUUGGGGUAAAUCUGGCCAAUAUGUGAACACAAACCCAGCCUCCCAAAGUAAAGCUGUGGUAAAGUCGCCGUCUGAAAAAGCUCCUGGAGGAGAUAGCUCUUUGCAUGCAUUUGUCUGGAUAGGCAUGGCUGUCUCCUUUACUGUACUAUGGAGACACAUCAUUUACGUACCACCACAUCGUGGCUGUGGUGGGUGCGGAAGACCUUGCUUGCAGCAACACCGCGCACACAUUGUGUGCCCUGGGCUCUGGAAUGGAGGAGGAGGUUAGCUUGCUAGAGGCAGUCCAUGGAAGAGAACAGAGUACUCUGUUGCGUUCUGUGGAAACAUCAAGAUCUGGCUGGUGUCAAUGAUAGGGAAAUAUAAGGAGAGGUGGAUGAAUGGGCAGGGCGGUGGCUAGGCCAUAAUUCUAUGGGAGUGCAAAAAGGAAGGAGGGGGAAAGGGCACCAAAUUCAUCAUACUUAAAACUCCCAGCAGCUUCUUUUUUAAAAAAAAGUAGGUUUCUAGAAUUGAGACAAUCUUCUAGACUGAGAAGAAUAUGAAUAUGAUGGAUAUUUAUAUACCGCUUUUCAACAAAAGUCCCCAAAGCGGUUUACAAAUAAAUGAAUGAAUGAAUGAAUGAAUAAAAUGGUUCCCUGUCCCCAAAGGACUCACAGUCUAAAAAGAUAAUCUGGAAAGCAUGUAGACUAGACAAUGCUUUCUGAACUCAGAGGACAGCUGAAUAAGAUUUCCAAUGCGGCAGUGUUUCAGGGUCCUGGAUUACUUUCCCCCCUAUGUCUAGCAAAGCCACAGUAAAUAACACCAACAGGAUAGACGCCUAUGGAAUAAAUGCUGCAAAAUCAGAGAAAUAAAUGUAAAUUUGCUCCAUUUGGAGUCAUUGACACGGGCCACAAAAUCCUGCAUUUUUUGGAGCGGAAUGUAGAUUGCCUGGGAGCAGCAUGCAGUGUGUGCAUGCGCACACACACAUCCCAGAGCCCUGACUAUGCGUAAAGGUUCUUAUGGAACCUUUGCAAUGCAGUUGCUGCUUCCGCGUGGUUGGAUCCUACAGCACUCCCAUAACUAGGGUUGCCAACUGGUGGUAGUUGUUGUUUCAGAUGAUCCGUAAAUUAAUAUAUUUACAUAUAAGUUGAUAUAACCAUUCCUCAGAGUGGACUGCAAAGAGUGCAUGUGUAUGUCAUAGCAGGCAUCAUUUGGGGGGCCAUAUGAAACAUGACAUGGGGGUUCUGUGACUUGAUCCACUGACAUUUGUUUCCUCUUUCAAAAAGCAGCCAGCGGGCAGUUGGAUUUGGGCCAUGGGGGUGGAAGAGGUGGAGCAGUGGAUUGGUACCACAGGGUGGGGUUCCCACAUCUUUCCCCCAUGUGAUCACUCCACUCCAAAUUGCCAUUUAAGCCUGUUAUUAAAGACAGAGAAGAAAAGAAAGAAUGUGCCUGUAAAUUUCCUCCUGCUAACUAGGCAAAGAGGUACCUUUCAAAGUGGUGAUUAUCUUAUUUCUAGCAGGGGGAGGGAAACCGGCACAGCAUCCCUCCAAUGGCUGUGGUUGGUGCCAACCUUAUGUUUAUUUUUAGACUGUGAGCCGUUUGGUGGACAGGGAACCAUCUUUUCCCUAUUAUUCUUGUUUAAUGUAAACUGCUUUGAGAACUUUUUCAUUGAAAAGCGGUAUAUAAGCAGCAGCAGCAGUAGCAAGUUUCCACCUCCCAACUAACAGCACCUUCAAGGGGAAUUUCAGGUGGCCCCACACAGUAGCCCCAAUCCAAAUCACAUACCCCUGACAGGUUUAAAAACGUAAAAGGAGUUCCAGUCACAAAACUCCCACAGCAAAGCCCUUCAGUGGCCUUUGCUCCUAUUUGAGAGAGAAAGAAAAAUGUCAUAUGAAGUUGUUAUACAAACAUUAUUAUUUAAAAUAUGCUCCCUGAUUAAUCAGGGGCAUCUCUUUUGCUGAUCUUUUUUUAAAAACAAAAAACCGAUUAACCAGUUACUCAAAUGUUGCAGCCCUACUAAUAACAUUCUGGAUGGUAUGAUAGCAGUGCAUCCCUUUGUGGACCUCUAACUCUGUCACCCGCCUGUCAGUUUGACCUGACCAUGUGGCAGCAGCAACUAUUCUGCACAGAUAACAUAAAAACUGGCCCCGAGGAAAGCAGUUGUUCUGCAAAGAGAUUAGGAACACCCACCAUGAAGAAGAGCUGGCAUGAUGAACUCUUGGCAGGGCAGGACACAGUCCCUACGGCCUGGAAACAAACUGUUUGGACAUGUUCAGCAAAUGUUUUACUUGACUUGCACUAAUUGCUGUAGAACAGGAUAUUAUUAGACUCUUUUCUUUUGAUUUAUUUUGGGGCUUGGGGCAGGAAGGAAUUUGCAACUCCCAAUGGUUAACAAGGCGUCAGUCCUGUAAACAUACCUGUUGCACAUUUUUAGAACCCAUGGACAAAAUAAAAUAGUAUCUGAAAUCA